rnacentral:rRNA from 1 species
ACUCCUACGGGAGGCAGCAGUGGGGAAUCUUAGACAAUGGGCGCAAGCCUGAUCUAGCCAUGCCGCGUGAGUGAUGAAGGCCUUAGGGUCGUAAAGCUCUUUCGCCAGGGAUGAUAAUGACAGUACCUGGUAAAGAAACCCCGGCUAACUCCGUGCCAGCAGCCGCGGUAAUACGGAGGGGGUUAGCGUUGUUCGGAAUUACUGGGGCGUAAAGCGCGCGUAGGCGGAUUAGUCAGUUAGAGGUGAAAUCCCAGGGCUCAACCCUGGAACUGCCUUUAAUACUGCUAGUCUUGAGUUCGAGAGAGGUGAGUGGAAUUCCGAGUGUAGAGGUGAAAUUCGUAGAUAUUCGGAGGAACACCAGUGGCGAAGGCGGCUCACUGGCUCGAUACUGACGCUGAGGUGCGAAAGUGUGGGGAGCAAACAGGAUUAGAUACCCUGGUAGCGACUGA